AGUCUAUUCUUCAAUUCAAGAUGAAAGCUGUCCUGACUAUUCUCGUUGUGUCCAUGCUGUUAUGUGUUGUAUUGUCAUCAGAAGAAUCUGAUGCACUGCAAUGCACAGGGGAGAAACUGAGUGAUGGACAGCUCUACUUCAGUAUACCGUAUGAAGUUAAGGAGGACAUCAAUGACUGCGAGACCCAGUGGCUUGUUGAUGAGAAAGUGGCAGGGAUUUUUGAUGCUGAAGGAGAAAUGCAGUUCAUAUUCCCAAUUAAAAAUUUGACCGUGAAUGCAGCCAUCUUACAAACGUGCCCUGAAAGACUUGCAUGCCUGCUCAUCUGCCCCAGCGCCAAUAUCAAUAAAAAGCAGCAGUGCUCAUGUGAUGCGUCUCCUCUGACUACGCUUCCUGAAGUGGGUUUUCCCAGCUGGAGUGUUUAUAUUUGGAUUGGAGUGGGUGCAUUUGCAGUGUUGGUGAUUGUCAUUGUCAUCACUGUGCUUUAUCGGAAAAGACAAAGGCCAGGAUAUGUUCUUAGUGGUCAAGGUUCUGCUGAAAAGAUUGUUUGAUUGUGGAGAAGUUACAUCAUUGCAUCUGGGCGUUCUUCAGUCUUCAGUCAUUCACUAUGGUCUUAUCUUUUAUGUAACAAGAUAUAAAACUUUAGAUUUUGUGUUUGUCUUUUUGACUAAACUGAUCAUGACUCUUAACUAACCGAAAUGAAACUAGAUGAUGAAAUAAUGAUAUUAUGUAAUUAUAUAUUAUAGAACUAUAUAUUUAUAUUUAUUUAUACUAUAUAUUUUGUCUGUUAUGUAAACAGGCACAUUUAGUAUGCAUAACUGUACAUAUGUAUAUGCAAGUAAAACUAUAAAUAAAUAACUAAACUGUAAGGUAACUUCA
ensembl:lncRNA